GACGAACGCUGGCGGCGUGCUUAACACAUGCAAGUCGAACGGAAAGGCCCUGCUUUUGUGGGGUGCUCGAGUGGCGAACGGGUGAGUAACACGUGAGUAACCUGCCCUUGACUUUGGGAUAACUUCAGGAAACUGGGGCUAAUACCGGAUAGGAGCUCCUGCUGCAUGGUGGGGGUUGGAAAGUUUCGGCGGUUGGGGAUGGACUCGCGGCUUAUCAGCUUGUUGGUUGGGUAGUGGCUUACCAAGGCUUUGACGGGUAGCCGGCCUGAGAGGGUGACCGGCCACAUUGGGACUGGGAUACCGCCCAGACUCCUACGGGAGGCAGCAGUGGGGAAUAUUGCACAAUGGGCGGAAGCCUGAUGCAGCAACGCCGCGUGCGGGAUGACGGCCUUCGGGUUGUAAACCGCUUUCGCCUGUGACGAAGCGUGAGUGACGGUAAUGGGUAAAGAAGCACCGGCUAACUACGUG
rnacentral:rRNA from 1 species